GACGAACGCUGGCGGCGUGCCUAAUACAUGCAAGUAGAAAGAGUGGCGGACGGGUGAGUAAGACGUGGGUAAAUACCCAGCAGAGGGGGAUAACACUUGGAAACAGGUGCUAAUACCGCAUACUGAUGUGUGGACCCGCGGUGGAUUAGCUAGUAGGUGAGGUAACGGCUCACCCAGGCGACGAUGCAUAGCUGGUCUGAGAGGAUGACCAGCCACACUGGAACGGAGACACGGUCCAGACUCCUACGGGAGGCAGCAGUGGGGAAUAUUCGACAAUGGGCGCAAGCCUGAUGCAGCAAUGCCGCGUGUAUGAAGAAGGCCUUCGGGUUGUAAAGUACUGUCAGUGGGGAGGCGGUACCCACACAGGAAGCACCGGCUAACUCCGUGCCAGCAGCCGCGGUAAUAC
rnacentral:rRNA from 1 species